AUGGCCGUGCCUUGCACACGCAGACCUGGGGGCUCUCCAGGCCCACGCUGUCACCCCCGGCCGUGGCUGCGCGCUCGGCCCGGCCGCAGGAGGCGGCGGGAGCUCCGCGCUGCCGCCGCCCCCGGCCCGGCCGCGCUUCCGCCCGCGUCAGCUGACUGUGCCCGGCAGCGGCCCGGCCCGGCCCGCGGAACCUCGGCGCGCCCAGCCCGCACCAUGGCGGGGGUCGUGGUGAGCGGAGCACAGGUGUCCUACAUUAGUCAGGACUGUGAAGAAAUUCCAGAAUUCCUGGGAAGAAAAUAUGGACAUAUGGCAAAAAGGCUAGAUCUUAGCUUCAACUUGUUAAGGUGAUAACAGGGAAAAAAUGUGUGGAGCAGGACUCUCAUUUUAUUUUGAACUUAAUACUCUGAAAUUGAGCAUGAUUUCCAGGAGUUCCAAUAUGGGAAGUAAGGAGGUAAUGAGACAAAUUUCUUGUCCUGAAUUUGGAGAUUGUUUUUGUAUACAUAAAUGUGAAUUUCCUUAAGGUAUGUAAGAAUGUUCCAUCCUUGCUAUUGUGGUAUAUCAAGCAUACUGUAAAACCAGAGAAAUUUGCCCUUUUUGCAAACUGAGAUGUCUUGGGCAUGUUUGUGCUGCUUGCAUGACAUGUGAAGAAGUCUGAGGUAGCUUCUUUAACAUCUAGGCUGAAGAGGGAAAAGAGGACACCAGAUUCCAGUCUUGGCUUCCUAUGGCGUUUUCUGGGAGAAGUGUUCACAAUGUCUACAUAAGGAACCCAUCAUAAGCAGCUUGAAUGCUUCCUAUUGAUUAAAGUAACUGGUGUCACAAAUCUGUUGGAACAAAGAAGUCAAAUGUCUAGGAAAUCAUGGAGUGUCAAGAUACUGAUUUUUAUCCCAGUGAUGUUUGCUGACCGUUACUUCCAUGUGUUGCUCUUUGUAUUAUGCUUACAGAUUGAAAAGAAAAAGCUUUCUCUGUAAUGCACAAAAAUUUGCAAUCUAGGUAGGACUUUCAAGUCCUAUUCUCUCAAACUGAAACAUAGAACUUAAUUCCUGUUCAAGGAUACAACAAACUCUGCAUCUCCAUUCCCAUUUACAACUUCUUUUCUCAUUCCUGUCAGUGAAGAGAAAAAGAAUUUUGGUUGCUGGAGAAGGCUUUAUGCCUAUACCUUAAAGAUAGAUCCUAAAAUCUCUCAUAAUUUCAGCUGCUUCUUUUAUUUUUCUUUUCCUUUUCUGUCUCACUCUUUCCCCAAAAAAUUGGCUCAACAUUUCUAAAUGUCAGGGGAAGUGAUUGUUCCUUUUUUUAAAGCAAGGCACUUGGAAAAGCAGGGUUAUAACUAUUACUUGACAUUCAUGCUGAGCAUGUACCUCCUUGGUUUCAUGGAAGUGCUUUUUUUCAUGGAGCCUAAAAGGAACUUGGUGAAGGCUAAUUGUACUUCAUUGAUAUACUCUUUAUUUUGCUACCAGCUCUUGUUACUCCCUUUUUAUUUUAUUAUUUUUUUAAUGCUUUGACUCUCAAAAAAAAAAUCUGAUGGUUGAGCGAGCGCAGCCAAACUGGCAAAACCUUCUUACACCCAGCCCUAAUAGCCGUAAGGUUUAUUAGCCAAAGUGAUGAAUAAGAAAAUGUGGAUGUUGAGUACAUUACUUACCCCCUCUUUGUUCUGUACUUGCAUCUGUAAAGUAGAGGCUGAAAUACUAAACCACACCAAAUGCUGAACCUUAAUGUAUGUUGGUAAAUCACUUACUAUUGCCAAAUACAUUACAGAAAUGCCUUGUUAAUGUUACCUAAAUUAUGUCACUGGUCAAAAAAUAAAAUCAAAUAUGUUUUGUGCUCCAGAAUUUAUGGUUCAGCAUAUUGACUUCCAGCUUGAUGAUCUUUCAACAUGCUAAAGUUGGUAGGGAUCUGAGAUAGUAUUGGUGUGGUGUUUUAUUAUAAAUCAAAGACAAAAACAUUUCUGGUUCAAGAAUUCCAAAGCAUGUUAUGUACUUUGCUAUGUGGAGUUAAAUUUCUCUUCCCAUGCCCCAAGUAAAUUGCAAAUUAACGCUAGUAAAUCACAUUGCAGCAGUUGGUAAGAAGUGAAAGUAUAUUAAUAAUUAAAUAGUUCUUUUCAGCCACCCCUCCCCCCUUCCUUUUUUAUGUGGUGAUUUUCUAGACUCAAAAUCAGCGUGUCUCAUCCAGGCUAUCUAUAAUAUAUAGUUGUUUCAAAUCAGCUUUACUUACUGAGCUUUUUCUAGUAAUGGAGCUCUGUCAGCAAAAAGCAUAUGCACCAGCAAAUGAUGAACGAUGGACUUGUGUCAAAUGGAAGCUUGAAAGGUGCUUCUGUAGUUAAAUGGAUUAGUCUGCACCAGAAGUUCAAAACUCCUCAAGUGUAAUUGUUUCGGAGAAAAGGUGUCCCUGGAUUGAUAGAGGAGGCUAAGCAAUGAGAGCUAGAGGAAGAACUGCUUUAUCAGAUGUGAGGGUUUACUAAUCCACAAGAAGUAGGCUUUGCUGUUACAAGAUUGCUGGUUUGAUGCUUCUGCAAGUUUUCUUCUUUUUUCUCAUGGGAAAGUUGUAAAGAUUUGUCAGUGAAAGACAGAUAUUUGGGGAUCUUUUUUAUACAAAAUUAGCAAGCUUAAUUCCAUUUAUGUGGCCAUGUGCAACAGUAAUUUCAAAAUAAUCUGUAGUGUUUUUGAUGCACUUUGUAAAAAUGUUGCUUCUUGUUUCAGUAGUAGUGUUAACUAUGAAACCAACUUAGUCUGCUAUAGUUAUUUUGCAAUUUCAUAUUGAAUAAGAUAGAGAUUGCUAUAUAAAAGUAAAAAACCUUGCAUGUAAAUUGUAACUUCAGAUAAAUAGUGUUCUAUUAGUGUUGCUGAUUAAAUAUUUCAUGAUUUGUUGUUAAUGUGUAAAUCUCACACGAAAGAAAAUAUUUACAGGGGAAGAAGUGUGCAUUAGGAAUUAAACUUUUGAAAUAUUUUUCCUGGGUUUUUUUUGUAUAUUAUUUUGGCUGUACUUAAAAUGGGUGUGCCAUAAGAGUGUUCAACAAAAGAAUAGCUAUAAGCAGGGAGGUUUUCACUGCUCCUCAGUCUUUCCAUUGUGCCAGUUUUUCCUUCUCUUCUGCUUCUUUGCAAUUGUUAGCCUUCAUGUGAACUGAAAGGUACUUCAAAACACUGGAAGAAAAUAGUCUGAAAGCUUCAUGUGCGUUUGCUUCAUAGUAAAGAGAAGUGAAGAAGUUGAAGACUUUUUCCACUGACAGGUGUUUGUGUGUCAGAGCAAUGAAUGCUUUUGAUGGCAAACCUACUUGCUUUUCUUCAUUGUACUCUUCUUCCUAAAUAUUAAAAAAAAGGAUAAAUUCUGACAACAAAAAUUCUCCAAACUGUAUAAUAGAAAGCUUGCUUUAUUUAUUUAUAUUUUAUAAAAGGAGAGAUUUAAAUUAUUUCAAUGGCUAUUCACUUUUCUUUCGUGUGGGUGAAAAGAACAGCAAUUGAGCAGUGACUGGAAUGGUGAAGGCUCUUUUUAGUUGUAUCCUCAUUAUGAUACAAAAAUAUUGUCAUCUGAUGAUUAGUUGGUACCAAAUUUCAUUGUCUUACAGAGUGCACACCGUCCUUUAAAAUAAUAUGAAAGAGUCCCAUCUUAUGGAGCCUAAAACUAUUCUAAAUAGCCACUUAUUUUUAAAGAUUGUUUUCACAUUUUUCAGUCCUCUGCUGCUAGUUUAUUAGCAUGGUGCAUGGCUGUCAUUUACUUAGUUUAUUGUCUGGUGAAAGACAGUAAUUGAAGAUUGUUUUGCAGGUGCUAAAUGUUCUGAUCUUUGGUUGUUUUCAUAUGUUAAGCUGUGCAAUGCAGUUGUAUCAUAUGGAAUUGCAUAUGCAUCAACAGCACAGUCAAAUCGACCAUUUGGAAGAGAUUAAAAACAAGAGUUGAAAAAAAUAUGACUAAGUAAGUGUAUUCUGUCAAACAUGAGAAACUCUUCCUGUUUAAUAUGAAAAAAAGAGUUAACUAAAUAAAUUAAUAACCCAUUUGGUUGUAAGUUCAUUUUUUCUUUCCAUUAAUGGUGGAAGUAAUUUGAAUGAUGGCUAAAAAUGGUACAAAAAUGGAGUCUGAACACAUCGUGCUGGGCUAUUUGUCCUUGAAG
rnacentral:lncRNA from 1 species